rnacentral:rRNA from 1 species
GAACGCGAAGAACCUUACCAAGGCUUGACAUGUACUGGACCGCAUCAGAGAUGGUGUUUCCCUUCGGGGCUGGUAUACAGGUGGUGCAUGGUUGUCGUCAGCUCGUGUCGUGAGAUGUUGGGUUAAGUCCCGCAACGAGCGCAACCCUCGUUCUAUGUUGCCAGCACGUUAUGGUGGGGACUCAUAGGAGACUGCCGGGGUCAACUCGGAGGAAGGUGGGGAUGACGUCAAAUCAUCAUGCCCCUUAUGUCUUGGGCUUCACGCAUGCUACAAUGGCCGGUACAGAGGGUUGCGAUACUGUGAGGUGGAGCUAAUCCCUAAAAGCCGGUCUCAGUUCGGAUUGGGGUCUGCAACUCGACCCCAUGAAGUCGGAGUCGCUAGUAAUCGCAGAUCAGCAACGCUGCGGUGAAUACGUUCCCGGGUCUUGUACACACC